UACGUAGGGUGCAAGCGUUAAUCGGAAUUACUGGGCGUAAAGCGUGCGCAGGCGGUUAUAUAAGUCAGAUGUGAAAUCCCCGGGCUCAACCUGGGAACUGCAUUUGAGACUGUAUAGCUAGAGUACGGUAGAGGGGGAUGGAAUUCCGCGUGUAGCAGUGAAAUGCGUAGAUAUGCGGAGGAACACCGAUGGCGAAGGCAAUCCCCUGGACCUGUACUGACGCUCAUGCACGAAAGCGUGGGGAGCAAACAGA
rnacentral:rRNA from 1 species